rnacentral:rRNA from 1 species
AGUGAAUAGAUACCCGGGUAGUCCUAGCCGUAAACGAUACUCGCUAGGUGUCGGCCACGGUGCGACCGUUGUCGGUGCCGUAGGGAAAGCCGUGAAGCGAGCCACCUGGGAAGUACGGCCGCAAGGCUGAAACUUAAAGGAAUUGGCGGGGGAGCACCACAACGGGUGGAGCUUGCGGUUUAAUUGGAUUCAACGCCGGAAAUCUUACCGGGACCGACAGCAAUGUGAAGGCCAGGCUGAAGACUUUGCCGGAUUAGCUGAGAGGUGGUGCAUGGCCGUCGUCAGUUCGUACUGUGAAAGCAUCCUGUUAAGUCAGGCAACGAGCGAGACCCACGCCCACAGUUGCCAGCGUACUCUCUGGAGUGACGGGUACACUGUGGGGACCGCCGCUGCUAAAGCGGAGGAAGGAAUGGGCAACGGUAGGUCAGUAUGCCCCGAAUAUCCCGGGCUACACGCGAGCUACAAUGGUUGGUACAAUGGGUAUCUACCCCGAAA